rnacentral:rRNA from 1 species
CCUACCCUGAGAGUCCCUACCCUGUAGGGACCUUACCCGGUAGUUGCGGGCAUAACCUGCCGGUGGUCUACCAAACUCUGUUUACUAUGUUAUUCUGAAUAAUAUAACUAAAUAAGUUAAAACUUUCAACAACGGAUCUCUUGGUUCUGGCAUCGAUGAAGAACGCAGCGAAAUGCGAUAAGUAAUGUGAAUUGCAGAAUUCAGUGAAUCAUCGAAUCUUUGAACGCACAUUGCGCCCAUUAGUAUUCUAGUGGGCAUGCCUGUUCGAGCGUCAUUUCAACCCUUAAGCCCUGUUGCUUAGCGUUGGGAGCCUACAGAUACACUCUGUAGUUCCUUAAAGUUAGUGGCGGAGUCGGUUUCACACUCUAGACGUAGUAAAUUUUAUCUCGCCUAUAGAUGAGCCGGUCCCUUGCCGUAAAACCCCCUAAUUUCUAAAGGUUGACCUCGGAUCAGGUAGGAAUACCCGCUGAACU